GAUGAAGAACGUAGCGAAAUGCGAUAAGUAAUGUGAAUUGCAGAAUUCAGUGAAUCAUCGAAUCUUUGAACGCACAUUGCGCCCGCCAGUAUUCUGGCGGGCAUGUCUGUCUGAGCGUCAUUUCAACCCUCAUGCCCCUAGGGCGUGGUGUUGGGGAUCGGCCAAAGCCCGCGAGGGACGGCCGGCCCCUAAAUCUAGUGGCGGACCCGUCGUGGCCUCCUCUGCGAAGUAGUGAUAUUCCGCAUCGGAGAGCGAUGAGCCCCUGCCGUUAAACCCCCAACUUUCCAAGGUUGACCUCAGAUCAGGUAGGAAUACCCGCUGAACUUAAGCAUAUCAAUAAGCGGAGGA
rnacentral:misc_RNA from 1 species